rnacentral:rRNA from 1 species
GGGUUGUGAGGUUAAGCGACUAAGCGUACACGGUGGAUGCCCUGGCAGUCAGAGGCGAUGAAGGACGUGCUAAACUGCGAAAAGCGUCGGUAAGGUGAUAUGAACCGUUAUAACCGGCGAUGUCCGAAUGGGGAAACCCAGUGCAAUUCGUUGCACUAUCGUUAACUGAAUACAUAGGUUAACGAGGCGAACCGGGGGAACUGAAACAUCUAAGUACCCCGAGGAAAAGAAAUCAACCGAGAUUCCCCCAGUAGCGGCGAGCGAACGGGGAGCAGCCCAGAGUCUGAAUCAGCUUGUGUGUUAGUGGAACGGUCUGGAAAGUCCGACGGUACAGGGUGAUAGUCCCGUACACCAAAAUGCACAGGUUGUGAACUCGAAGAGUAGGGCGGGACACGUGGUAUCCUGUCUGAAUAUGGGGGGACCAUCCUCCAAGGCUAAAUACUCCUGACUGACCGAUAGUGAACCAGUACCGUGAGGGAAAGGCGAAAAGAACCCCGGCGAGGGGAGUGA